rnacentral:rRNA from 1 species
AGAGUUUGAUCCUGGCUCAGAAUCAACGCUGGCGGCGUGCCUAACACAUGCAAGUCGUACGAGAAAGUGGAGCAAUCCAUGAGUAAAGUGGCGACCGGGUGAGUAACACGUGACUACCUACCUUCUAGUGGGGGAUAACUCCGGGAAACCGGAGCUAAUACCGCAUAACAUCGCAAGAUCAAAGCAGCAAUGCGCUGGAAGAGGGGGUCGCGGCUGAUUAGCUAGUUGGUAGGGUAAUGGCCUACCAAGGCAAAGAUCGGUAUCCGGCCUGAGAGGGCGCACGGACACACUGGAACUGAAACACGGUCCAGACUCCUACGGGAGGCAGCAGUGGGGAAUUUUGCGCAAUGGGGGAAACCCUGACGCAGCAACGCCGCGUGGAGGAUGAAGUCCUUUGGGACGUAAACUCCUUUCGACCAAGACGAUUAUGACGGUACUGGUGGAAGAAGCACCGGCUAACUCUGUGCCAGCAGCCGCGGUAAUACAGAGGGUGCGAGCGUUGUUCGGAAUUAUUGGGCGUAAAGGGCGCGUAGGCGGCGCCACAAGUCACUUGUGAAAACUCUGGGCUCAACUCAGAGCCUGCAAGCGAAACUGUGGUGCUGGAGUAUGGGAGAGGUGCGUGGAAUUCCCGGUGUAGCGGUGAAAUGCGUAGAUAUCGGGAGGAACAUCUGUGGCGAAAGCGGCGCACUGGACCAUAACUGACGCUGAGGCGCGAAAGCUAGGGGAGCAAACAGGAUUAGAUACCCUGGUAGUCCUAGCCCUAAACUAUGGAUGCUUGGUGUGAUCGGUACCCAAUCCGAUCGUGCCGAAGCUAACGCGAUAAGCAUCCCGCCUGGGGAGUACGGUCGCAAGACUGAACUCAAGGAAUUGACGGGGGCCCGCACAAGCGGUGGAGCAUGUGGUUCAAUUCGACGCAACGCGAAGAACCUUACCUGGGCUCGAAA